AUGGUGCAUAAAUUUAUCGUGAGUUUGCCUUUUGACCAACUAUCCCUUGGACAGGAGUGGAUAGUGCAAGCAAAACUGAUACGGUGUCCGGCCCCCCUCCCUGAGACCACGCAGGAUCCCGUGUUAAUCAAAAUGUUGGAGGUUGCACCUUCAAAGAACGGCAAAGGGAGGCACAGGGGAACUACCACCUCUGCCAAGGAGGCCUUUAAUAAGGGAGGAAUCGAGUGUCCCUCCUUCCAGGGGGAGAAGAGGACAACUUCCGAAGACCCGGAGGCCAAGUCCUCAAAGCGGGGAAAGAAAUCUGUACCGGAAGGUCCUAUGCUGGGAAGAGCCCCGGCCGUACUGUCUCCUCGGAGGAAUCAGCCCUCCAGCGAGCCGUAA
rnacentral:rRNA from 1 species